UGUUUACACAAUAAUUCAAAAUCUUUGAUGCGUUGUUUACACUGCUAGCAGGUGAGCAUUUUCUCGAGAAGAAGUGUAAUGGCGCUUGUUGCUCAACAUUGACAAUAACGAGGCAGUGUUCACUUCCUGGGUGUUCCAAACAGAAUCAGUUUCUGUUUAAAAAACUACUUUCAAAGAGAGAUAAAAUAUUUGGAUACUGUGAAAGUAAAGUGCAUCAAUGAAAAACACUUCAAGAAGCACAAAAAACAUAAUUUAAUGUUAUAGUGUCAAUUAUCAGCCCGAGAAUGCCAAAAUAUCUUGAAUCUAAGGAAGAAAGUAUAACCAAACAUGAUUCUCUCUCGUUUCUUUGGUUGAAUUUAUUUGCUGUUUGUCUGAAUCUUGGUGAUGGAUACAUUUCCACUGUCAUCGCGAACGCGUGUCAUUUCCAGCACUAUCAGUGAUAUUUAUCAUCUUACUAUUACUUCAUUACAACUAAGCUGUAUAUCCCGUAGAUAGACGCUGCUAAUCUGGACCAAAUCUCUGAUAAUGUGUAUUUAUGGAGGACCCGAGGAUUAGCACCCCUAAGACAAUAUGUUUGACUUUUGAUACGGUCGUUUUCUGAUUACUUGUUUUGCAAACAAACCUGCACAAGUUCCACAAAGACAUGGACAAGGGGAUUAGUAUCUAAACAUCGUCAGUCCAAAUUAGUUUAACGCGAUAAUUUUGAAACUUACACCACCCUCUCCCCCGACCCAGGAGAGAGUGCUAUGGUGGCGAGUUUACUCUGACUUCAUCAAUUAAUAAUUAGACCGUCGGCGGGGGCCUCCUAUCACCCUCAUCAGACGGACUGACGGCCAAACCGAGUUUAUGUAAGGGAAUCAAAAUAUUGGUAUAUCAUAUCAUUGUGGUACGGCACCCAAGAUAAGGGACGUUCAUGGACAAAAACACACUGUCACUUUUAAUUCUCUUAAUUGCACAAUCACCUUCAUCCAGGUUUUGAACAGCGAGGAAAUUCGAUCCAGCUUGGAGAGUUGGGGUUUCCUAUCCAUCCAUAUUGGGGAGAUGAAAUUUCUAAUUAUCGCGAAAAUGUGAGACGAAGACUUGUCGAGCGAGCACUUAAAUAUAUUUGUUGACUGUUACAUCAUACGACAGAGAGCUGUCAGAGGAAGCUUAUAACAAUGCACGGCCCCUCUCCUACACAGAAAAUAUACACUCAAAACAAUUAUAACACAUCGCACAUCUCGAGCCUAGAAGUAGUCACUAUUGUUUAAAAGCAAAACCUUAUUUGAUCGAUGCAUCAGAUAAGCAUUGAACUUUUUUUCAUAAUCAUGAUCAGUGUGGAAAAAAUUCCCCUCUUUUAUCGGUGGGUAGUGAAGCCCAUUUUUCUGCUCUGCGAAGGUAAAGAGGGAUGGGGCGUGUUGCACGACCAUCCACCCGUGGUCUGAUGUUUACGAUUACCUAAGCAUGUGUUGCUGUUUGCUACAACGAACACAGGUUCCCGACUACCUCCAAUAAAAAUAUAUUUAUUUUUAACAGAACGUAACAAAAUGUGCGUACAACCAGUAACCAUUGUGGCAAAAGAAUCUUACUGCUUGAACAAUUCGUUUAUUUAUUUUUUUACCUCUAAAUAGAAGCAAUUAAGCAACUAUUUUGUGUUCAAUCUACGCACGACGUAAUAAUCUGCAUUGUGCAAUCCGCCAUGUUUGUUUGUUUUCUUUUCUUUUUUUCGUGGAAUGUUUGAUUUCUCGGGUACAUUAUUUACUGGAAUUGUGCUUAUUAAAUUGACACAGGUCGGGCACUUUUUUCACUUUUUCCGCAGAACUUGAUAGAAUCCUACGUGACAGUGUGUCAUGUUAUGUAAAGAUGCAUUAAGAUUAAAAUUAUUGUAGGAAACAAAAUAAAACCUUGACAAGGACAAGAAGCAGUGAUCUUUGAAGGGCAUGGAUCUUCAUUGACAGCUUGAAAACAAAGGUAAGUUGAACUACUUUCUACUAAAUCUCAGAAAGUGCCAAAUGUGUCGUUGAGACAAUGUCGUUUGCGAAUUCUGUCCUAGAUAAGAAACAAUGUCAAAAAUUCCUAUGCAAAAGUGAGAACUUCAUUUGCAUUAUGGCACUGAUAUAAUAGACUUUUGUUUGUCCUUCGAUUAUUUUGCAAAUCAGUCAAACGGAAAAAAGAGCAGACAAAAGACUUCUUUCUCUACAUGCCGCGUCUUUAAUAUGUAACAGACGUAACAUAAAAAAAUGUAUAACAAUACAGGAACGAUUUCAUCUAAAUCAACUCCAAAAGAUUUUUAAUGUCAACGAGGCAAAAAAAGUGUCGUUUUAUUAGAAGUAAACCCCAAACCAAAGCAUCGUCAGUGCUCGAUUUAGAGUAGAGAUGAAGUUAACUAUACCCUCGAGAGAUUAGACGAAAAUGGAGGCAAGCUUUCCGAGGUGCGAGCAAGUUCCCGUAAAGUAACGAGAGAAAAAACAUGCAUAAUUAAGAGACCGAUUCCGAAGCUGAUAUAGGAGUAUUCCGGACAGUUUAUGGGAUAUGGUUGUCCCAUGGGAUACGCUUAGCGACUAGCGUUUUCAAUGUCUGCAGAUUUGCAUAAUAUUCAUUGCCAUUUUGAAUGUAAUAGUGGGUUUGUAUAUCGCAGUAGUGAGAAAUCAUUGCAAUGCACAUCGGCAAAAACUCGUGAUACAGAUCUCGCGAGAAUCCGGGAGUGACAAAAGCAAUUUACGCCUAUAAACACUAUGCGAACGCCAUCUUCCAACCAAGUAGUGAGACAUGCAUUAUUUUUCGAAAAACAAUGGUAAUUUGUCAUGCAAAAUGACGAUCAUGUCCAAAACUUUCCACUCAAAAAUUAACGGUAUUUUGCAUUCAAAUUGUCUUUCAAUAUGCACAAGAGACUUUCCAUUAACUGAGAUUGUUUUCUGUAUUCGACACAGACCAUCUUGUGCCAGCUCGGCGAGUCUCUAAAUUGAAACAGAAAUAUCAAUAUUUUGGGUCUCACAUCUGAUCUUGCGACGCAUUACGGGCGUGAGAGAGGGUAAUCAAACUUUAUGGUCCAACUUAAAGAGGACUGACUACAACUAAAUCUUUGAAAGAAAAUUACAAUGAAUAGCUGGUUGGACAUUCCAGUACAGAUUGCAUUACUAUAGCGGAAGGGGUCGGUGGUUUGACAGAGGCACGCGGUGAAGAGCAUGAAAAUGGCGCAUCAAUGACAAAAAAUGCGUGUGGUGGUGUCGACUAGCUUCGAUCACGUGACUCCCAAUCUCAUCAUCUUAAUUAGAUACUAUUUUAAGCAUUUGCCGAGUUUACUCCAUACGUCAAUGGAGUUCUUGUUUUGAUACGUAGAGGAUUGAAAAUUAUUGUUGUCUGACGACAGUGAAUAAUAACAGUGGUAACUUUGAUAGUUCCUUAACACGUCUUCUACGGUCUAUCUCGCAUACAGUGCAGGAAAAACACGGACAACUGAUGGUUAUAUAUCGACGUAAGCUACCACCAAGCACCCGAUGUCUGCCGCCGUAGUCAAGCAGACGACAGGCAACCCCAUGUGAUAAACAUCCGGGACACCCUCAACAAACUGACAGAAAUGUCACGUGGGACAACAAGCAGACGACAGCACCAACGCUGUUUAUCAGGGGUGCUUGAUCGAACAGGUUUCGACAGAGUUGUAGAACCUGAGCGCAGAGAAAAAAAUUAGAUGUUAAAAAAAGUCCCAUAGAUUGCUUAUAGUAUUCCAAAGUAUCAAGUUUAUAUCUUUAAUAUUUUUAAACCUUAAACUACUCGAUAUCUAUUUCUUUUUUUGCUAUUCUGAUACAUGUAUAGAAUAUGUUUAUAUUAUUAUUACAUGUAUCCCCAUAACCUACUGCAUUUAAUUUUUUUUGCAUAUUUGGCUGCACAUAAAAUCUUGUAUGUAAAGGUUUAAAACGCUUGGUUUUUUUUCAAUUUUCAAAUUGAAUAACUUUUAUCAAUCGAUACUUUACAUAAAUCAUUAUUUACAAGUGAUAUUUUAUAUUUUUUGUAAGAAAAAAUUAUCUUUAAGUUUUGUUUUUGUAAUUUACUUUAAAUUCGAAUAAAGUCAUGAUUUUAUGCUAUUUUUUUUUUACUUCAAAAAUUGCUGUACUUUACAAUAAUUCUGCAUGAAACUUUAACCUUUAUUAUAAAUAAAAUUAAAACCAAAAUUUUUUGGGGGAAAAUAGAGAUUUUGUGCUCAAUGGAAUAUAUAGAAAAUCAAUUAUUGUACAGAAAGACAAUGAUGUUAUUUCAAUUAAAUCUGAGCAUCUAAAUGUUCCCUCUCGUAUUCUUUUAAACAUAAAAAUAUUUACAGAAAGUUUAUUAACCAUUAUUUUUCCCAGUAAAGCAGUUUAUAACAAUUUUACAACAAACUGAUAGGAAUAAAAAUUGCAGCUUAUGGUGCUUUAAACGAAAAUUUCUAUUCUGCACAUACAUUUAUAAGUAAAAUAAUAAUUAGUAUAUAGCUUCUAAUGCGUACUCCCCUUUCACUUAUUUUACAUUCAAAUUGUUAAACGCAUUUAACUUUCACGGAAAAAAAUAACAAUGUUUUGGAAGAACAGAGUUUAUUGUAAGUAUAAUUUAAUAAAUUACAUUGAUUAAUUCAUUAUUUACGCUAUACAGCUUUGUAAAACACUAAUAAUACGAUUAUGAGAAUAAAGACACUAUAUAAGGAGUGGGAUGGGGGUGGAAUCAUAUUUUUAAAUAUUUUCAAGUAAAAUUCACAUGCACUGAUUUAAGGUUAUAUUAUGAAAUAUUUGCAUUUCAUUAAUUAUUCGGCAACAUAAAUGUUCGCACCAUUUUUUUUAAAAAAGUAAGUAUUUCUAUAAGUUACUAACAUAUAAUUUUUGUAAUUCGUUUAUAUCAAUUUUUAGUUCAUUAUUUAUGCAACUAUAUUCUCACUGAAAAUCAAUGAUCAUUUACAGUAAAGCAAUAACCAUAGAGGGACAGCAAAGGUAUACAUUUUCAUAGGAAGCUAAUCAAAUACACAAAUAUUUAUUUAAAGUAAAGCUUUUCUGAAAUAUUUAUUGCAGGAAUACGUCUGAUUUUCAAUUUCGUUUUUUUUCGUUUCACACAAAAGACAAAUUUUUCGCAAGGUUUCUUUGUGGUUAGUGUCCUUAUAUACGCGUAAUGUAAAUAAAACUUUUGUGUCUCAUUAUACAUAUAAACAUCAAUAUAACUAGCAUUUGGAAAAAAAAAGUUUUCAAUGCCUACCUGUACAUUGCCAAAGACUGCAGGUUGCUUGACCAAUCGAAUGUCCAUUCCAUGUCACGUGUUUUUAGGUAAUUCUUUGGAAAAUAAUAACUUAAAAGUAAUGAAAAAGUCACUUUUAUGUAUCGCUGAAUAACUAGAUAAUCUGCAUUUCAGAGAACCUUAAAAGGAGAACAACCUGAGAAUAUAUUUCUUAUCGAGAUCAAAGACUUUCAAUCGGCAGACAUUUCGAUUCCUGAUUUUUAGGACAAAUGAGCAAGACACGCAAAUCUACGCCUAUCUACUAAAAAACAUGAUGGACCAAUCGCAAACACAGGGAGACCCUUAUCAGACGGUUUAAAAGAUUGACAGAGGCAUGGUCUACCUUGCUGAUAAAAUGAAAUAAAGAUAUGUCAUUGUAGCUUUUUUCACUUAACA